rnacentral:rRNA from 1 species
AACACAUGCAAGUCAGGGGCAGCACAAGGAGCAAUCUGAGGUGGCGACCGGCGCACGGGUGAGUAACACGUAUGCAACCUGCCUGUAAGCGGGGAAUAACCCGUUGAAAGACGGACUAAUACCGCAUAAUACUAAAUUACUGCAUGGUAAUUUAUUUAAACAUUUAUGGCUUACAGAUGGGCAUGCGCAUGAUUAGCUAGUUGGAGAGGUAACGGCUCCCCAAGGCAACGAUCAUUAGGGGUUCUGAGAGGAAGGUCCCCCACACUGGUACUGAGACACGGACCAGACUCCUACGGGAGGCAGCAGUGAGGAAUAUUGGUCAAUGGACGAGAGUCUGAACCAGCCAAGUCGCGUGCAGGAAGAAUGUCCCUAUGGAUUGUAAACUGCUUUUGCAGGGGAAUAAAGUGCAUCACGUGUGAUGUUUUGUAUGUACUCUGCGAAUAAGGAUCGGCUAACUCCGUGCCAGCCGCGGC